UCAGGUGCAUGCAGUACACCUCAGUGACCGGAGGGGUGGAGCCAGGAUCCACCCCAUCCCAGACCUCAUUUAAAGGUUGGUAGUGGAGGUAAGAGUAUCUUGCUGUAGAUUUCUGCAUAUCUGAGCUCUUCUAUGGCUUAGGUUUCUGACAGUCAGGGCUGGGAUACUGGGAGGAAGACCAACUGCACAUCAGCUCUGGGCCUGAGGAAGUACAGUGAUUGCAGCUCUAGUUGCAAAUACCUUUCUUGAGACGUUUGUACGGCUUCCCUCUCCUUGAUUUGGCCUCUGCCUCCUGCUGUGCUUGUGCCUGAGCUCUGACUGCUGCUGCCCCCCGUUGUGCUGUGGUUGGGCACUAAACCUGUUAGAGGCACCAAGCAUCCUCUGCAUCUGGGUGAUGGACUGAGACUUCCAGUGACUGCAGAGCAAAUGGGAAUAUAAGAUCUGCUUGGCUCCUUCAGGAAAAUUCCUUCAAGGGCCCUUCAUGUGUUGCACUACUGCUGAAUCUGGAACAGCUGUAACUGUCAGUCCUGCAAAGCAGUCUAGCUGCUACUUGUCCAUCUGCCUUGUCCCACUUUCUGCUUGCACCAACCUGUGUUGUCAUGGAGAGCAGUGUGAGUGGGUCUGUGCAAGUAUCCUGAGUGCUGCUGAUUGGAGGUGUUGAUAUUGGCACUGACUUCUGUCCUGUAUCCAAAAUGCACCCAUCUGCUUUUGGCUUAAUCUCCAUCAGAGUGGCACCCUUCCUGUGCAGUUCUCUCGCAGAAGGUCUUGCUUGCCCCUCUUCCCGUCAGCAGGUUUUCAAGAUACUGCAGUCAACUGCUUUUCUUCAUACCUGGAUGAGAUUAUCUACUCUUAGUUUCCAUGUUUCCUAAGUCCUGCUCAUGCUCCGUAGCUGAAGUGAAACAGACCUGGCAGCUCUGGGGGCUGUGACUUAUGAAACACUUUUACUCUAAGGCCUCUAGAACAGAUGCUGCAGCAUUAUUUGUGCUUGAGCUUUGUUACUUUUGUAAUGAAUGCCCAUAAUGUUCCUCCUCACAGACAGAAAAAUUUAAGAGUCACAAAGUACGGUUCCACUUCCUUGGAUAAGAGGUGGUUGAGAAGGCAUGGGCUGUGAAGGGGAGAUUGGCCUAGGAGGGAGCGUUGCUUCACUGAGCCAAGCUGGGGGAAAAAGGGCGAUGGGGGGAUGCAGGGAGAGAUGGGGCCUGGAAGGACUGUGAGGGGAGGCUGCCAGGUCUGUCCUUCAUCACAUGGAUAAACAACCCACAUAGCAAUGACAAUAAAUAGUUUUGUGAAGAGCUAGAUCAGCUUUUAAGGGAGAAAGUGGUAGGAGAUGUAAUUGCAAAUUGAAGAGGAAAACAGCUGAGAUGGGUUUCCCUGAUGCUGUCUGUCCUUUAUUUGGCAGCGGCUCGUUUGUGAGGUGGAAAAAAA